rnacentral:piRNA from 1 species
UCCAAGACUUUGGUGUUUUAUGUGCAAACAU